CCCGCCGGCGACCGGCGCACGGGUGAGUAACACGUAUGCAACCUGCCCGUCUCAGGGGGAUAAUCGUCGGAAACGGCGUCUAAUACCCCGUAUGAAGCUGGACGGCAUCGUCUGGUUUUGAAAGAAUAUCGGAGACGGAUGGGCAUGCGGCGCAUUAGCUAGUUGGCGGGGUAACGGCCCACCAAGGCGACGAUGCGUAGGGGUUCUGAGAGGAAGGUCCCCCACACUGGUACUGAGACACGGACCAGACUCCUACGGGAGGCAGCAG
rnacentral:rRNA from 1 species